UUGCCAAAUUCUGCUUGUUAAAAUUAAAUAAAAAUUAAACUGUAGUCAAGAAUGUAAGCACAUGCAUGCAGACAGAAUGAUUAAUAGGUGCCCCUUAUAUUAAACAAUAAUUACACUUGAUCCUCAUGAAUACUUAUGAUUUUCCAGUACACAUUACAUUGGGUCAAGCAGAGGUCAUACAAGUCUUCCAUAUUUCUCAAUUGUGGAGAUUAUAAUGAGCACCCACCAUGUGUCAAUACUAGGCUAAAUUUACAAGCAUUAUUUCUAAUUGUUACCUUCUCUCAGACAGAUGAGAAAACAGAAGUUCCAAGAAGCUGAAGAAACAUAUGUGAGCACGCACAAUUUGAACACAGCAAAGCUGGGAUUUGAACCUGGGUCUCACUCUCACCAUAGACUCACACUCCUUCCCUUGCACUAUUUGCCUCUAAAAGGCAGAUCCUCCCAUAGCAUGCCCAGAUGAACAUCAAAGAGGGCCACAAUUCUAUUCUUUCUAUAGGUGAGUGGGGGAGAUUGGGAACCAACUACAGAAAUAUUUAUGCCCAUUCAUUCCUAGACGGACCUCACAAAUGUGGAUGACAGAGACAAAGCUCACUGAUAACAAGAGUAGACUGGACAACUAUGGGGCCAGGUUCUCAGUUUAUCAACUCAACUCCUGAGAAACUAGUCCUUUCCAUUGUCUUUGGCCACUAAGAUAAUGGUGCAAUACUGUAUACCCACCUGGCAACGUAAGGCGACUUGUGGAGCUGGUGCUUGCGGCUGGCGAGCCAUGAGAACGCCGUUUUGUGCCUGUGAAGAGAAAAAAGAAGAUAAGAAAAAACAGGAUUGUGGAAAGACCUGGUGGACAAGUAAAUGUUCAUCUGAAACGUUAUCAAAUUUGGGUCUGAAAACAACCUUUAGAAGCAGAUUAGGUGAGGUUGCAGGGUGGCGCAUAUCCUGUGGUCCAGAUAGGCUGGGGGUGUCGCCUUUGCCUUUGUGUGUGUGACAAUGCUCAGUUCCUCUGGCUGGAAAGUUGACAUGUUGGGAUCAAUGUGCCACUGAGCAAGGCUACAUUUUAGGAUCGCAGGGGAAGCUUUCUAAAUCCGUGGUUACCUGGGUGUCACUCCCACAGUUCUAGGGUGGAAGCCCAGCACUGAUGUUUCUAAAGCCCCUCAUUCUAAUGUGCUUUCAUCCAGGAUGGAGGGCUUUCUGAAGAAGGGGAAGCUCUGAUUUAGAAUGAGGGAAUCAGGGGGUUUGUCCCUGAUUUGGGCUUAUAGGGUUUACUCGUUAUUGGAGCUCAAGCAAUUAACUGAAUCUUUCUGAAGCUCAGGUCUACAUCUGUGAAAUGAGGAGAAUAACAGCAAUUACAUCAAUGUGCGCCAAUGAGGAUUGAAGGAACCAAGGUGUGUCCAGUGUCCAGGAAUGAUGGGAGACUCCACAAAUAUUAGGUCUCGCAGCUGCCCUGAAGGUCAGAGUUGGUGGAGAACACAGAGGGUCCAACCCUGGCUGUAGCUAUGCCUCAGUUCUUCAACUUCAGCUGAGUAACUCAGUUACUCCUCAGCUGAUUUUUAUAAAUAUGACUUCCAAGGUCCUUGUUUGGACACUGAAGCAGAAUCUCCAGGGAAUGGAGCCACAAAUUUGCAUUUUAACAAUUUCACCAGGUGAGUUCAAUGAUGGUCUUAUAAUCUGGUACUUCAUUGGUCUAAUGAAGUGUCUUGGACACUCUGGAGUGAAAGAUUUACCCAAACUGACACUCUGUGCCAGGGUCAGUCCUGCCACACUGCACAGCCCCUGGGGAUGCUGGUCACACUGUAUCCUACACAAAGAUUAUUGGACCCUGGGUGUGCAACACGUGGGCCCUAUUAGGAGGCAUUACCAGAGAGCACAUCUAUACCUUUGACCUGUGGUCCAGAGCCAUUUCUGCUCCGUCUGAAAUGUCGCUGUGUCCCACGGGAUCUGCCUCCACUAUGGGGAUGCCAAUCACAACCCUCCACUCACAAGAUUUUUUUGCUUGUCUCAUUGAAGCUUUGGGAUAGGGUUUCUCAACAGCGGCACUGUGACAUUUGGGCUAUACAAUUCUUUGUGGUGGGGACUGUCCUGUGUACUGGAGAAUGCUUGGCUGCACUUCUGGCCUCUCCCCAUGAGAUGUCAGUAGCCCCUCCCUAGUCAUGACAAUCAAAAUCGUCCUCCAGAUGAUGACCAAUGUCCUCUGGAGGCAAAAGUGCCCUCAGUCAAGAAACGCUAUUUUAGGAUGGAGACAGGGCUUCGCGUUUUAUUCAGAGCUUAAUACGUGGGAUUGCCUAUUACCAAUGACCAAGGAGACCCCAAUUUGGCUGUUUGGUCAUUGGUGAUAGGCAAUCCCACGUAUUAAGCAGUUACUAUGGCACUGGAGCCAUAUUAGGUACGCACCAUGAAAUAUAGAUUUGUUGUUUCUAAUGUUAACAUUCUGACAAUAAAAUUAUUCCCAUUUUAUAGCAUUUGAAGACAAAAGUGUUUAAAUAACUUGCCUAAAGUUACUAAGUGUUAGGGUAAGAGGGAAAAAUUUAAGUCAAGAUAAUUCAAAGUUCAAACUUAAGGAAAUUUUUUCCCUGACUCUUGCUGCUUCUUAACCAACCCAUUAUCUGGGUUUCCUUCAAGCACAGUUUCCCAAAGUCAUCUAAGAGGAAGAAAAACCUGGGAUAAUUAUUUUAACGAAAAGAAAAAUGUAAAACCCGAUUUCCAGGCCUCACUGAGCUCUUAGAGCCAGCAUUUCUGGAGGCAGGGCUUAGGGACCUGGGUUUUUCACAAGUGGCCCAGGUGACUCCCAUCACAAGGGAGGCUUGGAACACGUUGUGUGGCAGAAAUCUUUUCUUUCUUUUUUUAUUUUUGGUCUAACUAAUGAAAUAUGUGCCAUUCUGCUCUCUUUGUUUGUGUGUUUGUUUUUGUGGAGUCUCACUCUGUCUCCAGGCUGGAGUGCAGUGGCGCAAUCUCAGUUCACUGCAACCUCCACCUCCCGGGUUCAAGCAAUUCUCCUGCCUCAGCCACCUACGUAGCUGGGACUACAGGAAGAACAUUGGAAACCUGGUGGGAACACCCAGUCUAGACCCAGCUUCUAAACUGUAGCGUACGAUGCGCACAGAAGGCUAAAGACCACCCACCACAUGGAACUGGUUCUUGAACUCACUGUAGAACUCUCCUCUGUCAGUGGUUUUCAAUCCUGGCUACAUAUUAGAAUCAUCUGUGGAGUGCUUAAACAAUAUGCUGACACCUGGCCCUUCACCCCAAGAUGCUGUUUAGUUGGUCUGGAUGGGACCUGGGCAUGGGGACUUCUUCAUGUUCCCAGGUGAGCCUGACCUGCAGUCAUGAGAAGCACCACCUUCACUGAAUACCCAGAGAACAUGUUUCUUUCAGGUGCCAGGAUGGAAGCCUUUUUUCUGAAACAACUGGUGUGAUCCUCACGAACGUGAAUCUUGUGAAUGGUUUCUUUCCAUUUAAGAGUAGGAUUCCAGAAAGCUGAGACCCAGUCUAUGACCUAAUGCUAGGAAUCGGGGGGGCCGAUUUAGCCUGCACGUCUGCGUACUAACACUUGCCCCGGUUUGCUCCGUCUAUGCUAGCUCUACUUCAUGACUGGUUUUAUUCUGCUUUCUUAAUCGUUAGCAAAAGCAAUAUAUUAAAUUUAUAUGAUUUUAGAAUUCUCAAGUGUUUUAUAAAUGAGGUAAAAUAAAAGCAGAUAAACAACUAUGUCAAUGCUGCUAUUGCUAAAUUUCAUUUUCCUCAUCAAUAAAAUUUAGAAAACAUCAAUGUCAGGAUGAUAACGGCAAGCACCAAGUAAGAGUACACAUGUGACAGUGCUUAGCAAACUGUGUUGUACAAUAUAGUGUUUAUUAUUCUUUUUAGAAAGGUGUGUGUGUACACGUGCAUGUGCGCAUGUGAGUGCACAUGUGUGUGUGUAUGUGUAUGUGUGUCUAAGUAGGUAAUCUGUCAUCUUUGGGAAAUAAACACUUUACGGUCAGGAAUUACCUUGCCCUUGACUCACAGCAUGUGGCUAUUUAAGGAAUAAACAACCCAAUCCGUCAGCUUGGGGCAGAAAUGUCACCACUAAACUUGUACGACUUGAGGUAUCCUUUGACAAACAGAUAGCUUUCAGAUAUUUCAAAUUAAUGCCCUUGUUUGGUUCAGCUAAAGGGCAAGGAGUCCAAUUCAUCAAGAGUCUGAAGUAGACGACAGUGAUGGAAGUGACAACUAAGGCUACCCGCCUCAGGAUGAACACACACCCAAGACGCAGGGACUUCCCAAAGUUAGUGCUGAAGCACAGUGACUUGCAGCUUAACCUCAAACAAAUCAUUUCCCUUCCGCAAAAUGGGGUUAGCCUGGCCAAGUCUAUGCCUGCUGGGGAAAGGGUGAUUUAAGAGCCCUUGAGACAAAACAUCAUCGUUAUUAAUGGCCUGGCAAUAGCAAUGUCAUUAUAGUACAACCAGAUCCCACAGGGCAGAGGAGGAUGCUGAAAGGCUGAAGUAUGAAAAAGCUUAUUGGCCGUUUUCAACCUCUCUGUUUUAGCAUAUUGUAAAUGACUGCCUUUCUGAUAUCCACAGACCUCUGAUCAUGAUUGCUGAGCAUAUCUGCCAACACCUUCUUUGUGCUCCAUUUGGGCUGGGGCAGAGGGCAACAAGCCAUUGCCUAAAGCCUCAGAACAAAUCAUAAUUUUUGCCCCUGUACAGCUUUGAAGAGAAGGCAUCAAAAAAAGUCCAAUUCUGCUUUAGGCUGUGGGAUCACUGAAAGAGUCUGGAGGGCUUAAGUUACUGCUGUCAGGUACAUUUAGCAAAAAAGAAAAAAGUGAAAAAAAGAGUCUGGAGGGCCUAACCACCCCCCCAAACACACACAUGCACACACACACACACACACCUCCCUGAGAGUUAUCUUCCAACAGUAUAUAAAUUAAGGUUGAAUAUUCAGAGUAUCAGGGUAUUUAAUGUUAUUUUCCUCCACAGUACAACCACCAUCAAUACUAGGUUUGCUUUUGUGUGACUUGAAGAUGUCUGUUAAUCACAAAGAACAAUGAUUAAAAACAAGAGCUAUUCAGAGAUGCAACACCACAUGCUAUUUAAACAUGGCUUUCAAAAUAUUUGAAUAUGCUUGGAACUUGAAUUGGGCAUAUGAAUGAGGAGUUCAAAAAAUGAUCACAACCUAUGACCCAGUUGCUGUCCCAUGGAAUUGUGUCCAAUGGAUAUUCAGAAAUGUGACAAAGCCUUAUGUACAAAGAGCUCCAUUGCUGUUAUUUACAACUGUGAAAAGUAAAAUAAAAGCAUAUAACUUAAUUUCUCAAUGGCAGAGACGCGGUUAAGUAAAUUGUGCUGGAGCCACAGAAUAAAACAUGUUGCUAUUGAAAUUAUAUUAAUGGAGAGGUUAAAAAACUCACAAGAAAAUGCUUACAGUCCAAUGUGUGUGAACAAACCAUAAUUCAAAAUUUACUAUACGGCCUUGACUGUGUAAAAAUGCAUAGCAAAAGAU